AGCCAUUGAGUACGAAAUAACAAGUAGAAGAUCAAAACUCUUAUCGAAGAUCAUCCCAUUCAGAGAAAGAGGCGCAGGAAAAUCGACCGCAGCAUGAUCGGCGAGCCCACAAACUUUGUCCACUUGACACACAUUGGCUCUGGGGAGAUGGCAGAGGGCCGGGCCCCGUCAGGGCCGGUCCAGGAUAAGAUGAGGUCGAAAGGACCCAGUGCCAACGGCCGCAGGAGCAUGUUAUAGCUGCUGCCUACCAAGCAUGGAGAACCAUUUCCAUCCUCUAUGCGCCCCUCUCAUCCCAAAUCAAAAGCAGUCACUGCAGCGUAACCUGUUUCUAAUGGAGCACUUGGCAAACCUGAGAGCGGACCCUAAUAGAGAGCAGAGAGGCUCUUCCUGACGUCUGCAGGAUCGAUUUAGCCAAACAGGACGAUGCCCUUUCUGUGGUCACCACAAGAAUCGCCCUGCUCAGAGGAGGAUGGACUGAUGUUUUUGAUGCUUUUUAAAGAAAAGUAUUUGUCUUUCUGAUGGACUUUGGACUUCCACUGUAUUUCAGCCAACAACGUUUCUGUGUCAUGGCCAGCAAGCGUGUGUGAGAGUGUUUAGCAAAAUUUGUUGACUAACAUGGCUGAUUCCAUUUCAGGAAGUGAAGAUUGUUCUCAAGGAUCACCUGAAUGUUGUAAACCAUUGACCUACUGCCAAACAAAUAGUAUCCAAAAUAUCUUGCGUAUCUGUCUAAUGAAUGAGGAUGCACUUUUAUUUUCCCACAGUGCAUAGUUAAAGGUGUCUUUGUGUGUGUUUAUAAGUGCAAAAUGCUAUGUGAUUUUGUUGCUGUUUAGAUGCCAGUACUGAGUAGUGUUAUUUUGAUUGUACCAGUUGCCAUAGAGCCCCAUUUGGACUGCUACCCAGUUGCCAUAGAACCCCAUUUGGACUGCUACCCAGUUGCCAUAGAACCCCAUUUGGACUGCUACCCAGUUGCCAUAGAACCCCAUUUGGACUGCUACCCAGUUGCCAUAGAACCCCAUUUGGACUGCUACCCAGUUGCAAGCAUACAGAUAACUGCCAAAAUAAAGGAAACCCCAAUAUAGUGUCUUAAUAAGGUAUUGGGCACCACGAGCCAGAACAGCUUUAAUGCACCUUGGCAUAGAUUCUACAAGUGUCUGGAACUCAAUUGGAGGGAUGCGACACCAUCCCUCCAUGAGAAAUUAAAUAAUCUGGUGUUUUGUUGAUGGUGGUGGAAAACGCUGUCUCAGGCUCCGCUCCAGAAUCUCCUAUAAGUGUUCAAUUGGGUUGAGAUCUGGUGACUGAGACGGCCAUGGCAUAUGGUUUACAUCCUUUUCAUGCUCAUCAAACCAUUGUGGCCACUUGUGCCCAGUGGAUGGGUCAUUGUAAUCCUGGAAGAGACCACUCCCAUCGGGGUAGAUCUGUUUCACCCUACAGUAGGUAGAAGGUGAUCACUCAGAAUGGCUGUGUAUUUAUUGGAGUUUACCUUGUCCUCCAUGGGGUUGAGUGGACCUAAACCAUGCCAGGAAAAUGCACCUCCACACCAUAACAGAGCUGCCAAUAAGUACCCUCAUUUACUCAAGUGUUUCCUUUUAUUUUAGCAGUUCCCUGUAGCUGGUCACUGUGAUACACAAUUUACUAGCACCUACUCUGAAAAACCCAAACUAUUAGUCAGCGGGAAGAGUCUGUUAGUAACACGGGUUGUUGUUGAAAUUCGAAACACCCUGACCAUUACGGGGCUUUCCAGUGAUCUAUCCUGGAAUUAUGCCACUCAUUAAAUCAACUGCAUCGAAGGAACAUUCCAGAAGGUAGUUUGUUCUCUUGUCGGGGGGGAGGGGGAUGUCCACCCCAUUGAUCAGAAUGGAAAAUUCCAACCAUUUCACUGUGCAUUCCCCUUGUAAUUUCUAUAUGGCCUCCCACUUGAGCUUGUUGUAGGUGACGUGCCCUCCAAGCUGGCUUGUGACCCACAUGACAUCCACACGAUAGUGACAUACAUUCUGAAACCAGGUGGCAGUUUUAAACAUCUGAUUUAAAUCAUACAGUAGAAAUGAAAGUUUGUUUCCUGUACACAACUGUAUUUCUGACGUGCUUAGUAUACACAAUCUGUGAAUAACUCGUCACUCUCUGUAGUUUUUUUGCUAAGUGUGUCCAUACGGGGGAAAAUUCACCGUUUGAAUUGGAAUGUUUUUUUAAUAUUGUAUCUUAUUUGAUUUAGCUAGGCCAGUAUCCUAUGUGAUUUAGCUAGGCCAGUAUCCUAUACCAGAACAUAUGGCGUAUGGAUGGUGUAGAACAUGUACAGUAUGUUGUCCCUUUCACUAAUACCGUAUGUGUUUUAUACACUGGGCCUAAUGUUUACUUAAUGCUGAAGGGUGACUUUGCAUAUUGCUUGGUGGCUUUCCUAUCUUUGUUAGAGCAUGUAAUCCUGGGUAAAUUCUCAGCCUAACAGAAUGACUGCUGCCUUGAAGUUUCUUGAACAGUGUACAUUGGGAACGUCAGUCAUUUGAGUCUGUUGGCAUUUUAAGUUUCUAUCCCAUCUUUAUCAUGAUUGUUGUUAGACCAAAGCUUGAGUUCAUUAGAAAUGAUUUGUGCAACCUCUUGAUUCUUCCUGGAAAUACAGUUCACAUUCUGAAUAGAAUUCUGGGGGAGUAAUCUCUUCUGAUGUUGAAUGUUAUCACCAAAUGUGUUACUCAAUUUUCACUGCCUGGUACAGAAAUAAUAGAAUUUCAACCAACUGGUUUCAGUGGCCCCUAUGGGCUCUGCUGUGAACAUUUCUGGGAGAUUGUAUCAUUUUCAUUGAAGUUAAAGUGGGAAUCUAUAGUUGCUACAUCCAUUUUGGGAUUUAUAAAUUAUAUAUACCCAUUGAUUCUUGAAUAUCUCAUAAAUGCCUUAGUUCAACUAUAUUGUUGAUAUCAUGGAUGUUCAGUCCUUGCAUUAGUAGCUCUAUGAGUUUGAGAGCGGUUACAUUUCUCCAGGCCCAUUCUUCAGCAUUUUACCAAAACACAGGCAGGGUGACUGCUUUGUCAUUGUUUCAAUUAAGGAUUCUAGCUUUAAUCUCAAACUACUUCAACAAACACAUCUCACUGAAUCCAUCUGGUAUAGCACAAAUAUUGCAAUCUAAACAAAUGCCCUAAAAUAAAU
rnacentral:lncRNA from 1 species